GUAUUAAAUUUUGCCUUGCGGCAGAUAAACAUACAUUAUUAUUUCAAACAAGAGUUUGUGAGUUUCGAAGGCAAGAUUUUACCCUCCCUUCGAAAUUAAAGUGCACAGGUGUAAAUGGAUUAUGGAGAGCGAGCACAAUGCAGUCGGACUGCCAGCAUCAACCCUCUGUAAUUCGUUAAUGAUCCUUCCGCAGGUUCACCUACGGAAA
rnacentral:misc_RNA from 1 species